UUGUCUCUUCAAUCCUGACGUCCUCCGCUCAGAGAUCAGCUUCAUGCCUCGCAGGCGUUGCAAUUGGAGGUCCCACCGAGAUCUAAGAAAGAGAGAGUCUUCAACAUUAUCAAGGAGGGACAACCCAGGCACAGCGUGAUGGACACCUUGAUUUGAGAUGAUGAGAGUCAGGGAAGACCAGGCCAGCUGGAGUCUAGAGUGCCCAGUCCUAGAGAGAAGAGCACGCCACAGAAGAGGAAUUCCAGAGGUCUUCAGGGGCUCCUCCCUCUGCCUCAGCUGAGCCACAGUCAGUGCUGUAUGUGAAAACUUCCUGAUGCUGAGAUAAAAAUUAUCUAGACACAUUCAAAGAAACAAUGAUGAGUAUAAGCAGCCUAGAAGUAAAAAGAAAACUCAGAAUUCUCAGAACUGCUAAAAAAAAAAUCAAGAUCAAAGUCUAUACUGCCUUCGAGGAACCUGUUUUAAAUAUACAAAACAGGUUGAAAAUAA